rnacentral:rRNA from 1 species
AACGAACGCUGGCGGCAUGCCUAACACAUGCAAGUCGAACGAUUGCCUUCGGGUGAUAGUGGCGCACGGGUGCGUAACGCGUGGGAAUCUGCCCUUAGGUUCGGAAUAACAGCUGGAAACGGCUGCUAAUACCGGAUGAUAUCGCGAGAUCAAAGAUUUAUCGCCUGAGGAUGAGCCCGCGUUGGAUUAGGUAGUUGGUGGGGUAAAGGCCUACCAAGCCGACGAUCCGUAGCUGGUCUGAGAGGAUGAUCAGCCACACUGGGACUGAGACACGGCCCAGACUCCUACGGGAGGCAGCAGUGGGGAAUAUUGGGCAAUGGGCGCAAGCCUGAUCCAGCAAUGCCGCGUGAGUGAUGAAGGCCCUAGGGUUGUAAAGCUCUUUUACCCGGGAAGAUAAUGACUGUACCGGGAGAAUAAGCCCCGGCUAACUCCGUG